CGCUGGGGCAGCGGCGGCGGUGGGGUUGGCGUCCGCAGCGGCUGCGCAUCUCGCACCUCCCGCGGGGCGCCCGCGGGACGGCAGCACGGGUGGCGCAGUACCCUAGGAAGGAAGCCGCUGCAGGAGAGGAACAGCAAAUGACAGACCAGAGGGACAGAGGGACGGCUGGCCUAGCCAAUCCUGGAGCUGCUGCAGCACUUUUCCCCAAACAAACCCAUUCUAGUGCAAGGACAGAGAGGAGGGGGCUGCUGGCUCACACCCCCUCUCCUGCCUGUGGCCCCCUGGCUGCUCCCCUGUGGGAAGGGCAGCCUGGCCACCGUAGGCUGAAUGAAUAGAGACUGCCAUGGGCCAGGGUGGUGAUGGUGCCGCGGCCCCUCCCUGUUGCCCAGCGUGGGAAGAAGAAUGCAGAGCCAGGCAAAGGAGCCUUCUCCCAGGCCCGUCCUGAGAGCACAUCUCCGUGUCACCGCUCCCAGCGGCAUCUGUGGACUCCCCGAUAGUGAAACCUAGUUGGAGUGGAGCGGGCCGAGUGAGGGUGUUCCUCUGGAACCUGUACCCCCUUUUUUCUCUGAGUGCCGCUGUGGGCUGAGCCUGCUUGCAGAGCCCUGGAGACCUCUGACUGUGGAUUCUCAUGUCUUCUGCUCCCCUGGGCCCCUGGCUUCAGUGGGGAGGGGAGAGGUCACAGGAGGGCAGAUCUGUUCUUGACAAGUCCCGCUCCUCUGCGCCUGUCCCCGGGUGAACCUGAAAUGGACACGAAGAGUGGUGUCGUUUGGGUGACUUGGGAACAGCACUAACUAAAUUUAGCAAAACUGUAGCUGGUGGGGGGCGGCCUGCCCUGAGCCAAACCCAGCCCCGAGCGGACGAGAUUUAUAGUCAGCACCGCAGCCAGCGUCAUCUCUGCUUGGGCAAGUCUGUGGUUACACAGGAUCUUUCCCUUUCCACAGCCCAGAAGCUUUGGGGCCUGUCCCUGGGAUCUCCCUGGCUCUGCCCCUUUCAGACUUUGCUCCGCCCCACUGCCCUUGGUUUUAGGCUUCCAUCUGUCCCUCCCUCACGUGUCUGCAAUUGUCACUUCAGUUCCUUCUCCUUUGCCUGCGGAUUCUUCAACGCCUCUUGGCUAGAGUGCCAGCCUUGAUUUUCAAGGACCUGCAGAGCAAGACCUGAGCUUUGGUAGAUUUUUUGGGGGGCAUCUGGUAUCCUAGGUGACAUUCUGGUCAAGGUUGUUGAGUGGAGGAAAGGGAAGAGCUGGGAUGGUUAGUUGAACAGGGAUUUGAGGGACUGAGCUGUCUGUUCCCUUCUCCCAGAAAUUUAACCACAUGUAUUCUUUGGACUAUAAGAUGCACCUUUCCCCCCUGAAAUUUGGGAGGCAUAAUGGUUGUUAAUGCUGCUGUUGAGUUCUAUUUACAUUUAUUUACAUUGGUGAAAUGUUAUGUUAUUUAUGUUAUUAAAUAUUAUACCACAUUUUUUGCUUCAAAGGUUUUUUUUUUCCUAUUUCCUCCUCUUAAACUUGGGUGCAUCUUAUGGUCUGAAAAAUAUGCUAAGUACGUGGAAUUUGUGUACUCAACACUUGACAUGAAUUAGGAUGUGAAGUGACUUUUGAUACCUGGCGGUUUCUCUGAUCAGCUUGUCUUCUGAUGUGGACCAUAUCUGGGAGGAGGUGGGCUUUGUGGAACUUGAGACACAAUAUCCCCACCUGGACCUCCUUCCACCUCUCAGAUCUGAUGGUGGCAGCUUGCUUGGGGAGUUCUGUUGUCUUAAUGGCCAAGGAGAUAAUGACCAGGCUGCAUUGUCUAAACCCUUUCUAAGGUGGAUGACUAUACUUUGGCCGAGGCUGGGGUCUUGCCUAUGUGAGACAUGAUUUGUUAGUAUAAGGCAGUGGUUCUCAGCCAGGGGCGACUUUGCCCCUGGGGGACAUUUGGUGAACAUUUGGAGACAUGUUUGGUUGUCACAUGGAGCAGCAGGUGGAGUAUUAUUGGCAUCUAGUGGGUAGAGGGCAGGGAUGCCGCUAAACAUCAUACAAUGCACAGGGCAGCCCUCUGCGUGAUGAAGAACAACAUGUCCAGUUCAACCUGUCAGUAGAGCUGAGGUUGAGGAACCCUGGUGUAGGGGGACAGUCUUGUAGAAAUGGCCCUGAGAGAUCAUUACAUCCAGAUCCUUGCUUCUGUUGGAAAUGAUUGCAGGGCUCUCUGGCCACUGCUUGUCCCUUCAUCUCCACUUUCCCUAUCCUCAGCAUUUACAGUGUCUUAUAAAAUUGUGUUUAGGAGUUUUUUUCCUAGCUUCAUACUAACUUCAGUUUGCCGUAGAAUCCCACCAUUAAGCACGCGUACUCCAGCUCAGUCAUGCCUGUGGCUCGGUGCAGCUGUGUCCCUGGAGCACCUGAAUAGGCUGUGAUGUUGGCCUAUUUAGAUGCUGCUACAUUUGAAAUGAACUUUAAGGGCAACAAGAAGGCCAUUCCAAGCAAAUAUGUGGAAAUGAUGGGAGUGUAGCCUGUAGCUGUUUUCCUUCCUUCUCCUUUCAAUGAGAUGCUUGCUCUGCCUUGCAGAACUGAGUUCCACUUGCUAAGGUCUCUGAAAUGUAGGAAACACAUACUCGUUGCCCUGGAGGACAUGAUGUUGCUUCCCAGAUGAAACUUCCAGCCUGUUGCCAGAUACCUCGGCAGCCCAGUGCAUGCCACCUGCCCACACCACCCUCCUGCAGUCGGCACGGCUUCUUGAAGGCCAGGACAGGGAAGUGGGAAGUUUUCCCCAAAGUGAGGUCCUGGCUUUCCCUAGAUCAUGGGGGAGAGUAGCUGUGUGUGAAUUCUAGAAUACUCCGGCUUUUUACAUUUCAGGGCAGGCUUCAAGGUUCUUCCUAUGUAAACUCAUUUGCUGGACUCUUUGCUUGUGAUGCCACAGUGAAAGCGGGAGCCGAACUUUGCGAUAUGGGGAAAGAGGAGGUGGUGGCAGUGGUGGCAGAGGAGAGUUGCAGGGCAGGAGCCAAGGUAAGGCCAGGCAUCCUGGGCGAGGUACAGAUACUCCCCUGGGGACGUUUGACGUCCUCACCCCAGACACAGUCAUUCAGUUUCCAUGUGUUUGAGUGAUACCAGUAUAUUUUUGGAUGAGCUCAAGAAUAAAUGCAAGUGAUGGUGAGGUUACCUGUUUUUUUAAUUUGAUUUUAAAUAUUGAGUUUUCUGUCUCCUUUGGUUGGUGGAAAUUACAGGGGAGGGGUGUGGAUUGUGUUCUUGAAAUUCUGAUGUUCUUGAAAUUCAGGUUCAGUGCUUCCCUUAUCCUCAUGUAAAGGGACUAAGAUGAUGAUUGUGGGUUUAGGAGGCAGGUUCUAGAUCACUGCCACCCCAGCUGGCUCCUGGGGCAGUCGAAACCCACAGCCUCCGAAGUCCUGUUCAGUAAUGGUAAACAUUUGAAUGGAUUGCGUUGCACAGAGGAAUGUGUGUAUAUUUAGAAAGUCACACCCAGUAGAGAAAGAACCAGCUUGCUCAUCCCAUGUGCAGGUCUGAGCACACCCGGGGUCACAUCCUCUUAUUCCAUGAUCAGCUGAAGUCACUUCCUUAUGUACCCAAGGCUGCCCACACCCAGCCACUAUUUCCUGUACUGGGUCAGGAAGUCAGAUCACACUUCUAACCUUUUGGCAGCUUGUAGUUACCUACCAGCUUUCUGGGUUCUCUUGCCUGCCAUAGUCUUGGAGCCUCCUUAUAAACUUAGCUACCAUCUUGCUUCCAGAUCCUGACUUUGUCUUUGAGUCUCUGGCUUCUGCUUGGACUUCCUGGCUUCCAGGCACAGAGUCCCGUCACUGCUCUGGAAGCUGCUGGAAAUGUAAGCCCUGGGUUGCUAGUUUGGAGCUGCAUUUUCCCCCCUGUCUUCUUGGUUUUUACUCCCUUCGCCACCGGCCCCACCACCUUCUUCUCAUUAAAAAACCUUGUUUCUCAGAAUUACUCCAUAUUUCAACCUGCAGCUAUAAAACCCAAAUACAUUUUCAAAUUCAGUCUCAUAGAACAUAAAGCUUGAUAAAUUAAUUUUAAGUGUUGAAAAUGUGUUUAUUUUAUAUGGUUUGGAAGUUUUAGACUAGUUUCUCUGCCAUUUAUGGAAAGGCAAUAGGAAAGUGAUCAGAAAUGUGUAUAUGUCUUUCAGAUUGCGUGGAGGCACUAAAAAUUUGUUGGUUUUGGGGCAACAAUCCAUUUGGAGAAAAGUAUUUUUCCUAGUUAAAAAAAAUCUUUCUCAUUAGCUGUUUUGUUGUUGUUGUUGUUAUUGUUGUUAUAUGUCAGGUAAAUAUUUACCUGACAUAUAACACAUACAGAAAAGGGAACAAAUCCUAAGUGUUUGGCACAAAGUGUACGCAGCCUGCAACCAGCUUCCAGGUCAAGGAAAGAAGUCGAACAUUGUCAGGCCCCACCUCCCUGAAAAUGCCUUGAGCUGCUUUCCAGUCACGAACUGCCCUUUUCAACUGGUAGAGUUACAGAUUAGCUUUGCCUGCUUUUCUCCUCUAUAUCACACAGUAUGUUCUCUGUUGUGCGUGACUUCUUUCACUCAUUAGUUUGUGACAUUCAUCCACAAUGUGUGUUAUUGUAGUCUCCCAUUCCUGUGGCUGUGUAGUAUUCCAUUGUAUUAAUAAAUCACAGUUUAUUAUCCACUACAU